rfam:Triticum aestivum genome assembly, contig: Triticum_aestivum_CS42_TGACv1_scaffold_250514_3DL
UAGGUACUCCCUCCGUCCGGAAAUACUUGUUAUCAAAAUGAAUAAAAGGAGAUGUAUCUAGACGUAUUUUAGUUCUAGAUAUAUGUCUUUUUAUCUAUUUAGAUGACAAGUAUUUUCGGACGGAGGGAGUAGUAA